CUUGCACAAUGGACUCAUGACUAAAGCAGCCACGGUGGCAGAGAUGGAGCUCCCUUUACCAAGGCUGAUCAAAUUGCUACUGCAGAUUGUCCAAAAUGUCAGCAGUAGAGACCAAUGCUGAGUUCUCAUUUGGUACCAGUCUUUGAGGAAAUCAAUUAGCCACUUGCUGGCAAGUUGAUUACAUUGGGCUACUUCCACCUGGAGAGGGCAGAAAUUCAUUCUUCUUUGUACUGAUACACGUUCUAGCUCUUACCUCAAAGUGAUUAAUAUGUCACAAAAUGGAUGAGCUGGACAUCUGGCUUCUAAUGGUUUUUCUGAUGGAGGCAAUAUGAUCAGCGAACAAGACAGAAAGGAAUGCAAGAGGAUGGAGAGAGAACUGCAAAGAACCUGAUUUUCUCAUUACUGAGUAGUCUACUUGUGAGCAUCUGAAGCUGACAACUCUUCUUCGAGUUAAGCAGCAUGUUAUCCAGAUGAGGAAGCCACGGCUCAGAAAGGGUAUCUCGACAGGGACACAAGCACGCGCUGACAACAUGAUCAAUAGCUACAAGCAAGACCAACAGGUUGUACCACUGUCAGCAUCAGUGAGCACUGGAGACCAAACUCACCUCUACCCGGGACCUCACACCUGUCACUGGAGAGGACGCUCUGAAAUCUCCUGGAAAGAAAUUUGCCACCAUUUCAUCAACCCCUUGAGAGCAACAAGGAAGGUCUGUGUGGCCAAGUCUGCAAUCAAGAAAUGGCUGCUGGAAGAGGCAUCUCUGACCCAACCCAGGAAGGCCAUCACUGCCUCCAAAGAGUACCAUCGUGCAAAUUAGCAAAAUCCCCUUGUGUUUUGCAGCACUGGGCAUUGUUAUCAUUUUGGAGGAGGGCCAUGAUGAAACUACAUACUUUUUUGUUUGCGUAUCAUGUAACUAGUUAGAUUUAAAAUUUUUAUUUUAUACCAAAUUGUGGAAUUAUUUUCAAUCAUUGUUGGAAUUGAAAUAUUCAUGCAACCUCUUCAUAGAGCUAGUCACUUCAGAUGUGGAACACAGAGAGAGG
rnacentral:lncRNA from 1 species